GCGGCGCUGAGCGAUGGGAGUGACUUCGGGGAGCGAUGCGACGGUGUGUCCCUCGUCGUGUACGGAAGGAGCGGAGCGCUAUGUUGCUCUGUCGCCGUGCACGGCGAUGUGUGUGUCGCUGGCCUCAGGGCGAUAGGUUUCGGGUAGGCAUAGAACAAAGGAGUGUACUGAGACGCAACGUUGGGCUGUUGAGAGAAGAAACUGUCUCUUCAGAUCACUGUGACAAGUGCUCCGUGUUGGGAUCCCCGAGCACUUGAGACGGGACAGCAGACCUUCCUCCCGCGGCUUGAAGACGUGGGAGCGAGUGUGUCGUGCACUUCGCGUAGAUCAUCUUUCACCGCUUUCGUUUCGAAUUUCUUCGGUCGAGCUUGCGCAAGCCGCCACGGCGCAGCGCCGGCACCUCUUACCUACCGCUGGAUUUCCGCGUUCCCUUUUGCCGGGCUCGGCGCUGCCCGCCCUGCCCGAGGCUCACUCGGCGGCGGGACCCACCCGCUCCGCCCGGGUAAGACGAGGCGGUGGCGAAGGUGUAAAGCAGAGCUCAAACCCGGGCUUUAUUCCUCUCCGUCCGCCGCACCGCGUCCCGCCGCGCUCCGCGCCCGGUUCCUCUUCUCCCGGCCCGGUCUGGUGACUGAGAUGUUAAUUACACACACGUUCCUGUAACGAA